rnacentral:rRNA from 1 species
UACGAAGGGGGGCUAGCGUUGUUCGGAAUCACUGGGCGUAAAAGGGGCGCGUAGGCGGCUUUAUAAGUCGGGGGGUGAAAGCCUGUGGCUCAACCACAGAAUUGCCUUCGAUACUGUAGAGCUUGAGACCGGAAGAGGUAAGUGGAACUGCGAGUGUAGAGGUGAAAUUCGUAGAUAUUCGCAAGAACACCAGUGGCGAAGGCGGCUUACUGGUCCGGUUCUGACGCUGAGGCGCGAAAGCGUGGGGAGCAAACAGG